rnacentral:tRNA from 1 species
GAAAGGUUAAGUUAUAGAGACUAUAGUACUUCAAAUACUAAAGAGGGAGUGUUCUCACUUUUCG